GAUGAACGCUGGCGGCGUGCCUAAUACAUGCAAGUCGAGCGAACAGACGAGGAGCUUGCUCCUCUGACGUUAGCGGCGGACGGGUGAGUAACACGUGGAUAACCUACCUAUAAGACUGGGAUAACUUCGGGAAACCGGAGCUAAUACCGGAUAAUAUAUUGAACCGCAUGGUUCAAUAGUGAAAGACGGUUUUGCUGUCACUUAUAGAUGGAUCCGCGCCGCAUUAGCUAGUUGGUAAGGUAACGGCUUACCAAGGCAACGAUGCGUAGCCGACCUGAGAGGGUGAUCGGCCACACUGGAACUGAGGCACGGUCCAGACUCCUACGGGAGGCAGCAGUAGGGAAUCUUCCGCAAUGGGCGAAAGCCUGACGGAGCAACGCCGCGUGAGUGAUGAAGGUCUUCGGAUCGUAAAACUCUGUUAUUAGGGAAGAACAAAUGUGUAAGUAACUAUGCACGUCUUGACGGUACCUAAUCAGAAAGCCACGGAUAACUACG
rnacentral:rRNA from 1 species